rnacentral:rRNA from 1 species
UAUGAGAGUUUGAUCCUGGCUCAGGACGAACGCUGGCGGCGUGCCUAAUACAUGCAAGUCGAACGCUUCUUUCCUCCCGAGUGCUUGCACUCAAUUGGAAAGAGGAGUGGCGGACGGGUGAGUAACACGUGGGUAACCUACCCAUCAGAGGGGGAUAACACUUGGAAACAGGUGCUAAUACCGCAUAACAGUUUAUGCCGCAUGGCAUAAGAGUGAAAGGCGCUUUCGGGUGUCGCUGAUGGAUGGACCCGCGGUGCAUUAGCUAGUUGGUGAGGUAACGGCUCACCAAGGCCACGAUGCAUAGCCGACCUGAGAGGGUGAUCGGCCACACUGGGACUGAGACACGGCCCAGACUCCUACGGGAGGCAGCAGUAGGGAAUCUUCGGCAAUGGACGAAAGUCUGACCGAGCAACGCCGCGUGAGUGAAGAAGGUUUUCGGAUCGUAAAACUCUGUUGUUAGAGAAGAACAAGGACGUUAGUAACUGAACGUCCCCUGACGGUAUCUAACCAGAAAGCCACGGCUAACUACGUGCCAGCAGCCGCGGUAAUACGUAGGUGGCAAGCGUUGUCCGGAUUUAUUGGGCGUAAAGCGAGCGCAGGCGGUUUCUUAAGUCUGAUGUGAAAGCCCCCGGCUCAACCGGGGAGGGUCAUUGGAAACUGGGAGACUUGAGUGCAGAAGAGGAGAGUGGAAUUCCAUGUGUAGCGGUGAAAUGCGUAGAUAUAUGGAGGAACACCAGUGGCGAAGGCGGCUCUCUGGUCUGUAACUGACGCUGAGGCUCGAAAGCGUGGGGAGCAAACAGGAUUAGAUACCCUGGUAGUCCACGCCGUAAACGAUGAGUGCUAAGUGUUGGAGGGUUUCCGCCCUUCAGUGCUGCAGCAAACGCAUUAAGCACUCCGCCUGGGGAGUACGACCGCAAGGUUGAAACUCAAAGGAAUUGACGGGGGCCCGCACAAGCGGUGGAGCAUG